UCUUUUUACUCUUUUGUAAAUCUGCUUUAUUGAACAUUCAUGUUAUCUACUUGUCUAGUUAAUCUCCAGAGCCGUUGGUGCCGGAAAGGGUUGGUAUUGUCUUCCAAUUUUCGAAGAGGUACAAAUAUAAACUAAUAAAAUAUGGUAAUAGGUUUUGUUACUUCAUAAUUUGCAUUUUGUUUUAAUCUUGUGUCGUAAAUAUUGAGCUAUAAUGUUAUAGACAUCUACUACAUUGUUUCAAUUUCACUCUAUAAUAUAUAUAGUUCUCUUGAUUAUGAAAAUGUAUUACAUGAUUGUUUGACAUGACAUAUAAGUAAAGUGUUAUACAAAUCUUUGUUUCAAACACUUGUCUAACUUGCAACACAAUACACCCCUGUUUCAUAAUUUUGGCUUCAUGAAGAAUUAACAGUGAGUGCAAAAGUUUGAAGGACAAAGCUACUUGAACAAGGCUCAACUGGUUAGAUGCUAGAGAAAUCGACGUGAAUUUGCUAAUUUCAUGGUCCGAAACAUUGUUGAGGCUUGAGCAGCAAAUAGUGGCAGCUGGUGGCUCAAUCCCUAUGAUGGAAUGGAACUGAGUUCUAAGUGAGUGGAUAUGUAAAGAUAAUACACAUUUCACUUAGAUUAUGCAUAUGUGCCUCUGGCAUUUUGUUUGCUCUCCAUAUGCAAUUGCACUUUACAUCUCAUUGUAUUGUUGGUUAAUCAUAAAGAAAACAUGCUUUUGAAUCUGUGUCAUGUAUUGGAUGCGUACGUAGUGUUGGAUAUUGAUACUAAUAUACUAUUUUAAAUUGCACUUAA